rnacentral:misc_RNA from 1 species
UGGCUCUUGCAUCGAUGAAGAACGCAGCGAAGCGCGAAAUGUAGUGUGAAUCGCAGAACAUUGUGAAUCAUCGAAUCUUUGAACGCACAUUGCGCCUCUUUUUACAGGGAGGCAUGCCUGUCUGAGCGUCAUUUAAACCAAUGAACAUUCAUUGUUCGUGUUGAGCUUCACGUUUGCGUGUUGCUUUGAAUUGAUGGGUCUAGAUUAACGGAUGAGAUCCUUUAGGACUAACCGCAAGUCUGACGAAAUGAUUUUUCUGAAUUUGACCUCAGAUCAGGUAGGAAUACCGCCUGA